rnacentral:rRNA from 1 species
UACGAAGGGGGCGAGCGUUGUUCGGAUUUACUGGGCGUAAAGGGCGCGCAGGCGGCUCAUUUUGUCAGGCGUGAAAGCCCCGGGCUUAACCUGGGAACUGCGCUUGAGACGGGUGGGCUAGAGUUCGGGAGAGGAGAGUGGAAUUCCCAGUGUAGAGGUGAAAUUCGUAGAUAUUGGGAAGAACACCGGUGGCGAAGGCGGCUCUCUGGACCGAUACUGACGCUGAGGCGCGAAAGCGUGGGGAGCAAACAGG